AUCAAAGCAAGUCACAAAGCCUGCCCUGAGUCAAGGGAGAGGAAAUGGCUUCUAUUUCUCUAAAGGAGGAACAAUAUGCACACAUAGGGAGAGAUGAAUCAACAGUGGCCAUCUUUGGAGACUAUCUACUGCAGAUUUUAUAAGGGCGCAGAUGAAGGACGCUCUUUUCUGCUUCAGGAGAGUCCUGCUCCUCGCUUAGCUCAGCACAGCGAGUCCCCUGGCUUCAGCUUCCCUCCUGAGCACCUGACGGUUGUCGGUUUACUGUGACUCACUGCCAUUCUAUCUGCCUGGGCUUAUGUUUCCAGCAUCUCACCAGAGCUGUUGUGACCCAUCUCCUGGGCAAAGCCUUCCACGGAGAGGCUGCCGGGCCAGCAGGAGAGGAGACCCAAUCCAUCCAUCAGCAUUUGAAUAAUUCCAUCCACACAUACUUCUCUUCCAAACACCCGGGCUAUUUUCCUUUCCCUGAGCCAUGCAAGCCCAAGGAGCCAGCAGGGUUGCGUGCUCUCAGGAGUAGGACACGUCACAUCAACUUGAGUGCUCCAGGAGCCCUGCCACAAUGGUUUCUUUGUGAGAUCAUCUUUGCAGCGGUUUCCUGAAGCUCUGGCCUCCUUCCUGGUAUCUUCACACAUUCUAGGUGUUUCAAUUCAGUAAAAACAUAAGGGCCUUUUGACUGCUCACUCCUGCACUUCACACUGGGAAGGACACAGAAGUCCCCAGAGAGUGCCCUGGACGACAAAAUGUAGUUCAGAGGUAUCUAAGGUGGGUUCCACCCAAAAGGGUCCCACAAAGAAAGAAUUCCAGGGCCAAUUAAAUUUGGGGAUCUGCAUAGUCCAUCUCUCUCUUGGUGAUUCAAAACAUAUAUUUAUAUAUAUUAAAGGUUCUGAGAAGUCCUGUAAGUAAAUCCUGUUCCACUUUUUAACCCACCAUCUCCCAAACCCAGCAUGAUACUGAUAUCAGCAUGCUACUCUUUUCAUAUAACACCUACUUAUAUAUGAAGGAACUAAUUGAGGUCUUUUGAGAUAUAUUUUAGGAAAUGAUCUAACAGUGGUUUUUAACCUAAGGAAACACCUCACUAGAGAGUGCUUGGGCACAGGAGGUGGCAUUUUGGGUUGUCACAAAGAUGGGGAGGUGCUACUUGCAUUUCAUACAUAGGGGUUGUGGGGGCAGGGGCAGCUAGUGCUGUUACAGUGAUGAUGCAAUGCGGCCCCGUCCCAAGUGGGGUGGGGGGCACUGUCCUGCCCUAAAUGCCCACAACUCUCCCCACGCCGCUCUCCCACCCCAUUGAGAAGCAGUGGUUGGACCUACGCUCAGCAUUGUGCUCCCAGGCCCUCUCUGCGGGUUCAAACGCCUCUUGAUGUCCUCUUGGU
rnacentral:lncRNA from 1 species